GAUGAACGCUAGCUACAGGCUUAACACAUGCAAGUCGAGGGGCAGCAUUAGGUAGCAAUACUGAGAUGGCAACCGGCGCACGGGUGCGUAACGCGUAUCCAACCUUCCCGUUACUCAGGGAUAGCCUUCCGAAAGGGAGAUUAAUACAUGAUGGUGUUCAAAUUCCGCAUGUUAUUUCAACUAAAGAUUUAUCGGUAACGGAUGGGGAUGCGUGACAUUAGAUAGAUGGCGGGGUAACGGCCCACCAUGUCCACGAUGUCUAGGGGUUCUGAGCAGAAGGUCCCCCACACUGGAACUGAGACACGGUCCAGACUCCUACGGGAGGCAGCAGUGAGGAAUAUUGGUCAAUGGCCGGAAGGCUGAACCAGCCAAGUAGCGUGAAGGAUGAAGGUUCUAUGGAUUGUAAACUUCUUUUAUACGGGAAUAAAACCUCCCACGUGUGGGAGCUUGUAUGUACCGUAUGAAUAAGCAUCGGCUAACUCCGUGCCAGCCGCCGCCGUAAAAC
rnacentral:rRNA from 1 species